GAUGAACGCUGGCGGCGUGCUUAACACAUGCAAGUCGAACGGAACUCCUAUGAUUGAGGUUUCGGCCAAAAGAAUAGGACGUUUAGUGGCGGACGGGUGAGUAACGCGUGAGUAACCUGCCUUGGAGUGGGGAAUAACACAGUGAAAACUGUGCUAAUACCGCAUAAUGCAUUUGGGUCGCAUGAUUCUGACUGCCAAAGAUUUAUCGCUCUGAGAUGGACUCGCGUCUGAUUAGCUAGUUGGCGGGGUAACGGCCCACCAAGGCGACGAUCAGUAGCCGGACUGAGAGGUUGGCCGGCCACAUUGGGACUGAGACACGGCCCAGACUCCUACGGGAGGCAGCAGUGGGGAAUAUUGGGCAAUGGGCGCAAGCCUGACCCAGCAACGCCGCGUGAAGGAAGAAGGCUUUCGGGUUGUAAACUUCUUUUGUCAGGGACGAAGCAAGUGACGGUACCUGACGAAUAAGCCACGGCUAACUACGUGCCAGCAGCCGCGGUAAAAC
rnacentral:rRNA from 1 species